UUGGCGGCAGGUGAUGGGGCUCACCUUCAACCGCGGUCCGCGCCGCUGACAGUCCCUAGUCGACU
rnacentral:ncRNA from 1 species